rnacentral:rRNA from 1 species
GACGAACGCUGGCGGCGUGCUUAACACAUGCAAGUCGAACGGAAAGGCCCUGCUUUUGUGGGGUGCUCGAGUGGCGAACGGGUGAGUAACACGUGAGUAACCUGCCCUUGACUUUGGGAUAACUUCAGGAAACUGGGGCUAAUACCGGAUAGGAGCUCCUGCUGCAUGGUGGGGGUUGGAAAGUUUCGGCGGUUGGGGAUGGACUCGCGGCUUAUCAGCUUGUUGGUGGGGUAGUGGCUUACCAAGGCGAUGACGGGUAGCCGGCCUGAGUGGGUGACCGGCCGCACUGGAACUGGAACAGCGUCAAGACUCCUACGGGAGGGAGCAGUCGGGAAUAGUAGACAACAGUGGCAAGCCUGACACAGCGAGAGCGAGUGUGUGACGAAGGCGUUCGGGUCGUGAAGCCCUCUUGUUGGGAAAGAAAAGCAGUAGCUUAAUACCAAGCGUUUGUGACGGUAACGAAUGAAGAAGCACCGGCUAACUACGUG